rnacentral:rRNA from 1 species
GUGGGGAAUGUUCCGCAAUGGACGAAAGUCUGACGGAGCAACGCCGCGUGAGUGAUGAAGGUUUUCGGACUGUAAAGCUCUGUUGUUUAGGACGAAAGUGCCUGUUGCAAAUAGUUACAGGUAUUGACGGUACUGAACGAGGAAGCCACGGCUAACUACGUGCCAGCAGCCGCGGUAAUACGUAGGUGGCAAGCGUUGUCCGGAAUUAUUGGGCGUAAAGAGCAUGUAGGCGGGAAUCUAAGUCUGUUGUGAAAAUGCGGGGCUCAACCCCGUAUUGCGAUGGAAACUGGGUUUCUUGAGUGCAGGAGAGGAAAGGGGAAUUCCCAGUGUAGCGGUGAAAUGCGUAGAUAUUGGGAGGAACACCAGUGGCGAAGGCGCCUUUCUGGACUGUGUCUGACGCUGAGAUGCGAAAGCCAGGGUAGCGAACGGGAUUAGAAACCCUUGUAGUCC